ACGAACGCUGGCGGCGUGCUUAACACAUGCAAGUCGAACGGAAAGGCCCUGCUUUUGUGGGGUGCUCGAGUGGCGAACGGGUGAGUAACACGUGAGUAACCUGCCCUUGACUUUGGGAUAACUUCAGGAAACUGGGGCUAAUACCGGAUAGGAGCUCCUGCUGCAUGGUGGGGGUUGGAAAGUUUCGGCGGUUGGGGAUGGACUCGCGGCUUAUCAGCUUGUUGGUGGGGUAGUGGCUUACCAAGGCUUUGACGGGUAGCCGGCCUGAGAGGGUGACCGGCCACAUUGGGACUGAGAUACGGCCCAGACUCCUACGGGAGGCAGCAGUGGGGAAUAUUGCACAAUGGGCGGAAGCCGGAUGCAGCAACGCCGCGUGCGGGAUGACGGCCUUCGGGUUGUAAACCGCUUUCGCCUGUGACGAAGCGUGAGUGACGGUAAUGGGUAAAGAAGCACCGGCUAACUACGU
rnacentral:rRNA from 1 species